UAUGGGUUUGAUAUAAAUAGGAAAUGUUGUUUUUGAGUUUUAGGGUUUUCUUUGAUUUAGAACGGCAGCUUCUUUGUUUUUGAGUUUUAGGGUUUUCUUUGUGUUUGGCUUUAUGUUUGGCUCAUGUUCGUUCAAACUGCCUCUCACUUUCAGAGGCUACUACAAGCAGGUUUUUAAGCAGGUUGAGCCACAGUUGUAAAGCAACCAAAGCGAAGCUGACAUAUCACUUGCCGACCCAUCAUCUGUUUCAUAUCGGAUCUCUUUUGUCUCUAUCGUUAAAAUCUUUCCCCACUCUAAAGUACAGCUCUGAUAUAGCAGCAAUGGCUAAAUUGUUUCAAGAAUGCAGAUGGAGGAGCUGGCUACUGGUACUGCGGUUGAAGAGCAGGACUGCUGCGGAGGCGACGGCCACGCACGGAGCGACCGGGAUUUUCUAGAUUCAGCAUAGAUAUCAAGAAACUGAAGCUAAAAUCUCUAAGAAAGCACAUUGGCCUAGUUCAACAAGAGCCAGCUCUUUUUGCAACAUCAAUCUAUGAAAACAUCUUAUAUGGGAAAGAAGGAGCCUUUGAAGCAGAAGUGAUUGAAGCUGCCAAACUUGCAAAUGCUCAUAGUUUCAUUAGUUCUCUUCCAGAGGGUUACUCAACGAAAGUCGGUGAGCGAGGGGUGCAACUAUCUGGAGGGCAGAAGCAAAGAGUGGCUAUUGCUAGAGCAGUUCUAAAGAACCUAGAAAUAUUACUAUUAGAUGAAGCAACUAGUGCUUUAGAUGUGGAGUCGGAGCGAGUUGUGCAGCAAGCUUUAGAUCGAUUGUCUUUAAGAUUAUUGAUGACUCGAUACUCCAAUCCUUUAUUAACUUCGUUGACUUUUGAAAUUUGAUUG